GUCCCAAGUUUUAUGCUCAGCAAGCGCCACACAAUUCUAAGCUGACCACAGGGACUGAAAACCCGCCCCGCCUAUGUCCCUCCCCUCUCCCAGUUCCCCUCCUGGAAGGGCGGGGGCUACGAACUUGAGGCCAGGCCUGCUCACUCCCUGUACUGAACCUACCACCCUUUCUUCAUGGAUCCAAGGAAAGGAUUCUAGAAUUAUCCCUUGAAAACAGACAGAGCCUCAUCAACACACACACACACACACACACACACACACACACACACACACACACACACACACACACUUGAUUUCACAGAUAGGGAAACUGAGGACCAGAACAAAUUGUUGUUUUUAGGCCUGAAAUUCAGAAUAGGAUAUGCAGCAUUCCUGAACCCGAACUGCUCAUCGUGGGAGCCUGAAGGCCAUUGGGCCCAGCAGGGAAGUAGGCUAGGCCCUAACACCUAUAGCCCCACCUUUAGGUCCCCUGCUUCAGGCAGGACCUGGAGCUGCUGCCCAACAAGGUGGUCUCCUGAGAUCCAGUUCUCGCCCAGCUGCGGACUUCCAGAAGAGCCUUCAGAGGCCGAGGUGGAAGUGGGAGGGAAAGGGAGCGGGGCUUCCAGCUCUUGGGCACUGACCAGUUUGUUCCGGGCUUGGGGGUUGGGGGUGGAGACGGUGGCUGAUCUCUGCUCCUCUAGCCUCUCAGGCGCCUGGUUCGGUGUAAACGCCGGCAGGCUGAGCUGGUGGCGAGGCAGCCUGGCGGCGCCUUGGCCCCAAGGCAUCUCUGUGGCAGGACUCCCCGGUGUCUUCGGAAGAUUCGCACGUAGGGCUAAGGAGCCGGCGACUGCUGGGCUGCUCACUCCAUCUGGCUCGCCACCUGCAUGAAAAUCUUUGAUCCUAUAAAGAUACUUCCACUGAGGCUCACACUGGAAGAAACCAGCCCACCCCCACCCCUGAUAUCCACGGAGAAACAGCCUAGGCGCUUCACACUCACUCUGCUGAGGCAGGGAAUAUCUGUGCAACCUUGUGUUGCUCCCCAUCAGCCUAGAUUCUCCAAGGUGGGAUUCCACAAAGAGAUGGCUUUCCAAGAGUUGAUAAGAACGUGGGAGACCAGGCUUUUAAGCUUGAAACUCUGGGUCUUCUUCAUCUUUUCAUUAAGGUCCCUGUCCCUAGGACCCCCUCCAUCCUCACCAACAUUUCUGGUCUCGCUCCUUCCCUAGGUGGGCUUGUGCCUAUCAAAUGUCAGUUAAGGGGGGAAAUGAGAUGAUGUCAAAUUCUUUUUAAUUCGCUUCUGAUCCAGCCACUCGAAAGUUGCUCGCUGAGGCCCAGCUUGUGUAAGACAAUUACCAGGCAGGGACAGUGGGAGAGAGGCCACCGUGCGCAGACGGGAUGUGAGGCCCAGUAGCAAGUGGGAUUGGUUACAUAGAUCCAAAAGGAAGUCUGCUACUCUCCUUCAGUCUACCUCUGCCGAUGAAGCCUUGGGAGCCAAGCACUCAGGGGAGUCUCCUGUCAGUCUCACAAAGCCCUCGGUGCCCCUUUAAGUUGAUCUGACUCUCAUAGAGGCAGGCUUCCCAGGUCUGUCCCCAGUGAUACUGGUGACAGGGGCUGUGACAGAUGAAGCUAACCGAACACCAAGAUUACAAGCACAGAGGACUGUGGGGUUGGGUGAACGGAAAGAUGGAGGGCGCCUUUCUAAGAAUCGGAACAGGGCUGUGAUUUGUAGGCAAAGGCUGUUACACAAACCCUGGGCAAGAAGGAACCACAGAAUCUGGCCCCCAGAACCAAGAGUCGCAAUGGUCCAGCAUCACCUCCUUCUCUGGACUCUCCUGGGCACACGGACUCAUUGCACCUGCUAAAAACACAUCCCUAGCUAGCAGUGGCGCUAGAGGAGUGGGUGGAGUCAGCUUUAUCCCAGCAGAAGGAAAAUAAAUGUGUCAGUUCUCAUUG